CGUAGGCGCGUGCAUGUGUGCCCCGGUCACAGCUCCUUUCAGCAUGGCCGGAGGAGAGGUGUACUGGCAGUCGCGUGACACACACAGAUCAGACACAUAUUUCUGUGUUGCAGAUGUGCAGUAAAGAGCCAAAGACCCAGUACUGUCUCCUGCCUCUUACUUUCACGCCAGAACACAACGCAAGAACAACAGGCGUAACACAUGAACGGGUUACACAUACUGAGGUGAGUUGUUGAGGAUAUGUCGAGCUGUCGAUAAGCACGGCUGUUUUUGUGCUCUUAUAUACUGUUAGCCUGUUUUGCUGGCGUUAGUGAAGCUGUUUUCAACUGGAUGUAACAUUGUUGAACUCUGAUGAUUAAUGAAUAAACUCGAUGUGACGACGUGAGCAUGUAAUUGUAACCCUGUGUUCAUUUAGUCGUUUGAUACCGUUUAAUAUCCAGUACAUCUAUUGGGUGUUUUAUAACAUGCCCUGGAAUCAUUUUAAGUUUUACAAUGCCGGUGAUUUACGACUCUUUCGCGACAGUCAACUGUGGCGUAAACUCUGGCGGGUCUCAGAGCUAGCUUAUGUGAGCCAGCAGUGACAUCUAUACAUGCAGUAGCCUUAAAAUACUGAUUAUUUAUUCUCCUGCUAGGUAAGAAUUUGUGUUUUAUACGUUUAUUGUCACAUUGUGCGCCAUGUUAUUGUUUCGGUGAAAUGAAUUUCUACAAUGGCGGACUUAGACAAAAUAGUGUUACUGUUAAUUUGACUCUCUGCAGUGUUUAAAUGCUUACAUAUACACACACAGUUACUGUCCCUCCACACGUAGGACUCAGUUCUGCUUCUAUGCCCCAUCUUUGUUUACUCUUUCCCACCCAACAAGUGCAUAAAUAAGAUGUUAAAAACGUCAUCAUCAUAUCAAACAUGAUCGAUUUGGGGGGAGUUUGUUUGGCACAUGCUGA